AUGUCUAAUGUUUUUUCGCCUGGGGAAUUAAUCGGACUAUUGCGAGCGGAACGAGCAGGGCGAGCUUUGGAUGAAUCGAUCUAUUAUCGGGCAAUCUUAUUGGGAAUAACAAGGGCUUCCCUGAAUACCCAAAGUUUCAUAUCUGAAGCAAGUUUUCAAGAAACUGCUCGAGUUUUAGCAAAAGCUGCCCUACGAGGUCGCAUUGAUUGGUUGAAAGGCUUGAAAGAAAACGUAGUUCUGGGGGGGGAUUAUACCUGUUGGUAUCGGAUUCCAAAAAUUUGUGCAUCAUUCCCCACAAGACAAGAACCUUUAUUUUGA
rnacentral:rRNA from 1 species